CUGUAAUGCCUUUUGUAAGGAGAGGGCAUAUUAUAUAUUUUUUAUAAUUACGUAUUUGGAUUGAGCCCAUCAAUCGUUGGUUUGUUGUUUGACUUUUCUCAGGCAUACCGCUGCACCCUGACCUUUUUAAAGGGUCAAUCUGGGAUUGGGAUACAUCGUGCUGGAACACGGACAUCCUGGAUGAGUAGUGAGCAGUGAUGAGUGACAGGGAGGCAGUCAAAGCCCAUGUCCUUCUGUCAUCACAGGGCCACCAGACAGCCCUCCACCGAGCAGCCAUGGUGGGGAACAGUGAUAUCAUAGACAGACUCAUCAAGGGAGGCUGCGCUCUAGACCUGCAGGACAAGGACGGCAACACGGCGCUUCAUGAGGUCUCAUGGCAUGGCUUCCGUCAGUCAGUCAAACUGUUGGUCAAGUCUGGAGCUGACGUUCACGCC